rnacentral:rRNA from 1 species
UACGAAGGGGGCUAGCGUUGUUCGGAAUUACUGGGCGUAAAGCGCGUGUAGGCGGGUCUUUAAGUCAGGGGUGAAAUGCCAAGGCUCAACCUUGGAACUGCCUUUGAUACUGGAGAUCUUGAGUCCGGGAGAGGUGAGUGGAAUUGCGAGUGUAGAGGUGAAAUUCGUAGAUAUUCGCAAGAACACCAGUGGCGAAGGCGGCUCACUGGCCCGGAACUGACGCUGAGACGCGAAAGCGUGGGGAGCAAGCAGG